rnacentral:rRNA from 1 species
UACGGAGGGGGCUAGCGUUGUUCGGAAGUACUGGGCGUAAAGCGCGCGUAGGCGGACCUGCAAGUCGGGGGUGAAAGCCCGAGGCUCAACCUCGGAACUGCCUUCGAUACUGCGGGUCUCGAGUCCGGGAGAGGUGAGUGGAAUUCCUAGUGUAGAGGUGAAAUUCGUAGAUAUUAGGAAGAACACCAGUGGCGAAGGCGGCUCACUGGCCCGGUACUGACGCUGAGGCGCGAAAGCGUGGGGAGCAAACAGG